UACGAAGGGGGCUAGCGUUGUUCGGAAUUACUGGGCGUAAAGGGCGCGUAGGCGGCCAUUCAAGUUAGAAGUGAAAGCCCCGGGCUCAACCUGGGAAUUGCUUUUGAUACUGUAUGGCUUGAGUUCGGGAGAGGUGAGUGGAAUUCCCAGUGUAGAGGUGAAAUUCGUAGAUAUUGGGAAGAACACCAGUGGCGAAGGCGGCUCACUGGACCGACACUGACGCUGAGGCGCGAAAGCGUGGGGAGCAAACAGG
rnacentral:rRNA from 1 species